CAGGCUCUCUACCAAUGUACUUGGACUGAUACCUCAAAAGCAGGACGUACCAGGCUUCUCCCAAAGAGCUGUGGAGAAAAAAACGCGCUUCCUUCCUGUCUUCCAAGAGAGACGCGAUCACCAGAUGUGGCAAGAAGAAUACAGGGUAUGUGACUUCAUGAAACAAAAAGGGAUUUUGCAGAUGCAAUUAAGUUAAGGAUCUCGUGGUGGAGAGAUAAUUCUGGAAUAUCUGGCAAGAAGACAGCCAUCCACGAACCAGGGAGCAGCCUCUCACCAGACACUGUAUCUGCCAGGGACUUGGUCUCCAACUCCCAUCCUCCAGAUCUAUGAGCAAUAAAUCGCUGUUUACACCUCCUGCCUGUGGUUAUAGCAGCCUUAGUUUUACGAGAUACACCAUUUUCCGAUUCAGAAGUCCCUUGAUGACCCACACUGAACCUGCAGCAUGAGCAAAAAUAAUCCACUGAGGGUCGCCUGGGUGGCUCAGUUGGUUGGGCAUUCGACUUUGGUCCAGGUAAUGAUCUCACAGCUCCUGAGUUCAA